UACAGAGGGGGCAAGCGUUGUUCGGAAUUACUGGGCGUAAAGGGCGCGUAGGCGGCCCGCUAAGUCGAACGUGAAAUCCCCGGGCUCAACCCGGGAACUGCGUCCGAUACUGGCAGGCUUGAAUCCGGGAGAGGGAUGCGGAAUUCCAGGUGAUAGCGGUGAAAUGCGUAGAUAUCUGGAGGAACACCGGUGGCGAAGGCGGCAUCCUGGACCGGUAUUGACGCUGACGGCGCGAAAGCCAGGGGAGACAAAGCGGGG
rnacentral:rRNA from 1 species